AGGAAAGGAACUGCCAGGCGCGUGUUGUCCUCCGAGGCACAGCGACACGCAGCUGAGUGCUGAGGGGUGGCUAAUUGCUCAGGGCAGGCUGACAUAAUGGAGCGGUUCUGAGAGCACCUCAGCUGUGGAGAUACAUGCUGGUGCUCUGCUGCUGCCCUGAUGCACAGAUGCUCUCUCUGCUUCAUAGGAGGAAUCUCCCUUCAUUUCUCACCAAGAUGAGUCUGAAGAAUUGAGUGCCCAAAGAAUUUGCAUGGAAGCAUUCGUCCCUCUCAAAACCACCAGACGCCGUGUCCUGGGAGAAGACAGCUGUGAGACCUGAGUGCCAGUGUGGAGCCCGAGCACUGGCAUGUUCCCACGUCACACUGAGGAGCGAGCAGAGUGCAGGACAGCAUGGGAGCAGAGAGCCACUGAGCUGUUUGGGUGGACAGUUUGCAGAUCUACAGGAAGCUCCUUCCCUCAUGGUGCACAGACCACGCUGGGGGUGGCACAUGCAGGUGGGCAGUGCUGGAGGGCACAAGCAACUGGGGCUCCUUGCUGCUCCCACACGGACUGUGGAUGCCAUGGGGUUACAGCUGGCCACGUCAGCAGCAGGAAUGGAGCUCCGGGAUGCCCCUCUCCAUGGUCCAGGCUGUGCACAGGAGUGGUGCUUACACAGGUGGGGAGAAAGCGUUUUUGCAGUGGCAUGAAAAAUGUGUAUGAGGAGACAAGGCAUCAGGUUGCCAUCAGCACAAAUGUAUCUGUGCCUUAUUUUUCUGCUUUCCUGGCUCCCAGACAAGUACCACGAAAACCAACAAUUUUCCUGUCCUUUUUCUCCUUUGCUUUCACAGGUAUCUUAAACCAAACCCUUCCUUCCCGGCAGAAACAGGAUGCACUGCUGGGUAUAGAAUAAAAAAAUCAGGAUUUUUAGUCCCCCAAGGAGAAACAGGGAGAGACUCAGGCUCCUUCAUUGUACUUAUGGUUGCAGACUUGGAUACCACCAGCCUGUCUGUGCUCCAUGGGCCUUGCCUAUUCUCCUGGCUCUUCCAGAGAGGGAGAGCUGUGGAGAGGGGCCGAGGCACUGCGGUUCUGGUGAUACCUUAAGAUUUUAGGCAACACCGUUCUUUUCCCACUGCAGGUCAAAGCAAGCAGGACUCUCCUGGCUACAGGCACAUUGAUACAGGCACAUUGAUCCACCUCCCUGGGGACAAUCUGCAGACAUGGACAGGAGGGAAGAGCGGAGCAUGUGUCCGUCCUAUCCUCGUGGCUUCCGUGGGAGAGGCCAGCAGGCUGGCCAGGCAUAGUGUGGCAGGGCUCACCAAGGGGCAUGGCUGGUGCUGCCUCUGCAUCUGCCUCUACCAGCAGAUGCCCAGAGCUUUCCCACCACAGCCUGAUGAACGGAGAUUCCUUCUAAAACG